UCUUGAAGCACGGACCAAGGAGUCUAACAUGUGCGCGAGUCAUUGGGACCGCACUAAACCUAAAGGCGUAACGAAAGUGAAGGUCGGCCGUGGCGCGGCGUGCCCUCGCGGCGCGUCGUCGCCCGCCACCGAGGGGGGAUGCGGCCCGUCCACAGCGACGCGGCCGCCGCACCCCCGGGGCGUCUCGUUGUCAUUGCGACACAGCAGGCGCACCCAGAGCGUACACGUUGGGACCCGAAAGAUGGUGAACUAUGCCUGGCACUCGGAGACAUUGUGGAGCGGCCGCCGAGGCCGCAAGGCCGGAGCCCGCACGUAACCAGUCUCAUCUGGUAAAGCGAAUGAUUAGAGGCCUUGGGGCCGAAACGACCUCAACCUAUUCUCAAACUUUAAAUGGGUGAGAUAUUCGACUUGCUCGAAUCGAUGAAGUCGAAUAAGUGAAAUGACAGGAUGAACGAGUGCCAAGUGGGCCAAUUUUGGUAAGCAGAACUGGUGCUGUGGGAUGAACCAAACGUCGAGUUAAGGCGCCUAAAUCGAUGCUCAUGGGAUACCAUGAAAGGCGUUGGUUGCUUAAGACAGCAGGACGGCGAUGUUGAUGUGCUGUCGAAUACACUACGUGUAUGACCACGUCGGGCGAAAGGGAAUCCGGUUCCUAUUCCGGAACCCGGCAGCGGAACCGACCAUGCGGGCCAAUGUCGCGCAAGCGGCAACUCGUCGGGGUAACCCAAAAGGACCCGGAGACGCCGUCGGAUGAUCGAGGCAGAGUUUUCUGUUCUGUAUGAGCGUUCGAGUUCCCUGGAAUCGCCUAGCGCGGAGAUAGGGUUUGGAACGCGAAGAGCACCGCACUUGCGGCGGUGUCUCGAUCUAUCCCUCGGACCUUGAAAAUCCGGGAGAGGGCCACGUGGAGGUGUCGCGCCGGUUCGUACCCAUAUCCGCAGCAGGUCUCUAAGGUGAGGAGCCUCUAGUCGAUAGAA
rnacentral:rRNA from 1 species